AACACUUCGUCCCAGGAUAUCAUGGAUGCCCUUGAACUGAAAUAUGGACGAGCAGAAACCAUUAUUUGCAAUAUAACGGCACAAUUACGUAAGUUGCACCCUUUACCUACGCAUUAUCAGCAAGAUCUCGUUAACUUCGCUACAAAGGUAAACAACUGCGUUGCAACUAUUCGUGCGCUAAAACAAAGUGAUCAUCUCCGUAAUCCAGAGCUCGCGUCCGCUAUUACAAGCAAAUUACCGAGCACACUUUUGGGAAAGUGGACUGAAUAUGCCUAUGAAAAGAUUCUAGCAGGAGAAUCUAAACUAGAAUUGCUGGCUCAAUUUUUGAAAAAAGAAGCCAACAUGACCCUGGUCACCGGAGCUGUGCAGCCGCGAGAAGUCAAAAAGCCAGCACCGACCGAGCCCCAUUAUAAACGAGACAAGAACGAAAGUCGUCAUGCGCACCCUAUACUUGCCACAAGUACGAAAACUGACAAUAUUUCGUGCUCAUUUUGUAAGAAAGGCGCACAUUCACUGCCCGACUGUCGCGUUUUUAAACGCGCAAUGCGCAGAGAUAAGUGGAAAUUUGUUAAAACACACAGAUUGUGCUUCAAAUGUUUGACCGCAAGCCACGAUAUAGACACCUGUGAUGCACCUGACUGCGAUAUAGAGGAAUGCGGACGUAAACAUCACCGCGUACUCCAUUGGAAACAAGCUACAUCGUCUACGAGUACGCCAUCGGACCCCGCGAGCAACGAGCAACCGAGCGCGCCGGCCUCGCCGGCCCCGCCGCUUGCUCAACCGCCGCGCAGCGCAGCCAGCGACGCCGAUGCUACGAUCGCUCACGUCGCGACGCCCGACGAAGUGACGGCCGACUCGAACGAAAACAUUUUACUAAAAGUAGUUCCAGUGAAGUUGUGUGGACCCCGUGGUGUAAUACAGACUUAUGCAAUGCUUGAUGACUGUGCCGGAGUCUCAAUGUUGGACUCUAGUCUAGCCGAUGAACUUGGUCUUCACAGUGAGCGUCCUAGUGCGGUAAAAUUCAUAGACGCGUUCGGCCUGGAAGUGUAUCAACCGGACGCACCUAAAGUUCGCCUUAAAAUUGCCGGUCUGGACAAUACCUAUUACGAUAUCAGUUUACGUAAAAGUUCUAAGUUAAAAUUGCCACCGCAAAACCUAUCACCUAUAAAUCAAAUAUCGUGCAACAAAUUAUCUAAAAUUAAAGAUAUUGUUUGUAAACAACGUGUUGUGCCCCGUGUGCUUAUAGGUGAAGAUAAUUAUUAUCUAAUAGCACCGCUCGAGAUCAUUCAUGGCAGUAGAAAUUCUCCAUAUGGGACCCGCUGUCGGCUGGGAUGGUGCAUCCACGGCUACUGCAGUCGCGCUCGCUCCUCCGCGUCGCAGACGUACACCGAAGCGGAGUCGACUGGAAGUGCCAGAUCCGGCCUGAAGAACAUGCUCGUUGGCAGGUUUGGCUCGACGAGUUGAAGCAGCUGGAGUCGCUGCGCAUACCGCGCUGGUACCUGCGCGCCGGCACCUGGACGCCGUGCUAUGACUCACCGUCAACGUCUGCGUCAUGCUUGGGGAGAUUGAUGAGCUGACUAAUGCCAGUGAAUGGCAUUACGUGCCAUCCCGUCUGAAUAUAGCCGACAUUGCGACCAAGGUGGACAGUCCUCCGCUGAACUGUAGUCAAGCGUGGUUUCAAGGUCCUGCAUUCCUGCGUCAACCCGAAGACCAGUGGCCGAAGGACUUGAAGAACGCGAAGGUCGCCGAAGAAGCUACCUGUGAAAAAAGAAGUGUUAAUAUGAUUAGUACACUUGAAAUACACUUACCUGUACCCGAUGAAGGACGUUUCUCCAACUGGAUCCGACUUGUGCGCACUGCUGCAAGAGUUAUAUAUUUUAUAAAAAUAUGUAGGCAGAAAUGCCAAGAAAGGAAAUUAAAUCAAAGAAGAAAGAAGAGUAAUAAAGACACGGUGUAUCUCGAUUCUGCUAUGAUGAAGAUGGCAGAAAAGCAUAUAAUAAAAAAGUGUCAAAAUGAUACCUUCGCCGCCGAGAUCGCCUGUUUGACACAAGGAAAACCACUGCCGUCAAAUAGCCGUCUUCUUAAAUUGACUCCAUAUUUAGAUGACGACGGCAUUCUUCGCGUUGGCGGCCGCAUAGAUCAGACUGCAGGAGUAGACCUGUCAACUACACGACCACCGAUAUUGGACGGUAAACACAGAACCACUCGGUUAUUAGUUGAAUACUAUCACCGACGUGCCAUGCACGUGGCAAAUGAGCACGUCGUGAAUGAACUACGGCAGUCUUAUUGGAUUGUGAAUUUACGUCCCACUGUACGCAGCGUCGCCGCGCAAUGUUUGUUUUGCCGCUACCGGCGCGCCAACCCGCAGCCUCAAAGGAUGGGUGACCUACCUGCCGCGCGCUUACAGUACAGUCGAAGGCCAUUUUCAUACACAGGGGUUGAUUUCUUUGGCCCCAUUGAGACGACCAUUGGUCGAGGAAGACAAAAAAGAUAUGGCAUGAUAUUUACAUGUCUCACUGUGCGAGCCAUUCACAUCGAGAUCACGGAGUCUUUGAGUACAGACUCUGCAAUCAUGGCGCUGAUACGUAUGGCAGCUCGCCGUGGCACCCCGCUGGUUCUAUUUUCAGAUAAUGGCACAAAUCUACGGGGAGCCGACAACGAGCUGAAGAUGAGCCUGAAGCAACUUAACGUAGAGAAACUGCGUGAAGAUGGAGCUGUUCGAGGGAUAGAAUGGAGAUUCAUCCCCC
rnacentral:misc_RNA from 1 species